rnacentral:rRNA from 1 species
CACACUCGUGGCGAAUAGCUCAGUAACACGUGGCCAAACUACCCUUCGGAGCACAAUACCCUCGGGAAACUGAGGCUAAUAGUACAUACCAUACCACCACUGGAAUGAGUGGUAUGCCAAACGCUCCGGCGCCGAAGGAUGUGGCUGCGGCCGAUUAGGUAGACGGUGGGGUAACGGCCCACCGUGCCAAUAAUCGGUAUGGGUCAUGAGAGUGAGAACCCAGAGACGGAAUCUGAGACAAGAUUCCGGGCCCUACGGGGCGCAGCAGGCGCGAAACCUUUACACUGCACGACAGUGCGAUAGGGGGAUCCCAAGUGCACAGGCAUAGCGCCUGUGCUUUUCGGUACCCUAAGGCGGUACCAGAAUAAGGGCUGGGCAAGACCGGUGCCAGCCGCCGCGGUAAUACCGGCAGCCCAAGUGAUGGCCGAUCUUAUUGGGCCUAAAGCGUCCGUAGCUGGCCGCGCAAGUCCAUCGGGAAAUCCACCUGCUCAACAGGUGGGCGCCCGGUAGAAACUGCGUGGCUUGGGACCGGAAGGCGCGACGGGUACGUCCGGGGUAGGAGUGAAAUCCCGUAAUCCUGGACGGACCGCCGAUGGCGAAAGCACGUCGCGAGAACGGAUCCGACAGUGAGGGACGAAAGCCAGGGUCUCGAACCGGGUUAGAUACCCGUCCAGGCUUGUCCGUAACAAUGUCUGCUAAGUGUGGGUCCCGCUACGAGUAGGUGCUGUCCCGGAGGUUGCCCCCUAGCCGACCGCCUUUGCAGUCGUCCGCAAGAUGAACGCUACCGGGAAUGACGGGUAGGUCUACAGCCUCGGGGCCGGGCCUUAUGGGCCUAU